CCUACGGGUGGCAGCAGUGGGGAAUAUUGGGCAAUGGAGGCAACUCUGACCCAGCAACGCCGCGUGAAUGAUGAAGGUCUUCGGAUUGUAAAGUUCCUUUCUAAGGGAAGAAGACAGUGACGGUCCCUUCCGAAUAAGCCUCGGCUAACUACGUGCCAGCAGCCGCGGUAAUACGUAGGAGGCAGUCGUUCUCCGGAAUGACUGGGCGUAAAGGGUGCGUAGGUGGUUUGACAAGUUAGUAGCGCAACUCCGGAGCUCAACUUCGGACCUACUACUAAAACUGUUAGACUUGAGUGCAGGAGGGGCAAUCGGAAUGCCCGGUGUAGCGGUGGAAUGCGUAGAUAUUGGGAGGAACACCAGUGGCGAAGGCGGAUUGCUAGACUGUAACUGACACUGAGGCACGAAAGCGUGGGGAGCGAACAGGAUUAGAUACCCCAGUAGUC
rnacentral:rRNA from 1 species